UACGGAGGGUGCAAGCGUUAUCCGGAUUCACUGGGUUUAAAGGGUGCGUAGGUGGGUCUGUAAGUCCGUGGUGAAAUCUCCAAGCUUAACUUGGAAACUGCCAUGGAUACUAUAGGUCUUGAAUACCGUGGAGGUGAGCGGAAUAUGUCAUGUAGCGGUGAAAUGCUUAGAUAUGACAUAGAACACCAAUUGCGAAGGCAGCUCACUACACGAAUAUUGACACUGAGGCACGAAAGCGUGGGGAUCAAACAGG
rnacentral:rRNA from 2 species